rnacentral:lncRNA from 1 species
AUGGGCAGAGGAUGUGUGGUACGUGUGGUCAUGUCUGUGAAGGAGAGACCGCGAGAGGGAGGGAGGGAGCGAGCGAGGGAGGACUCAGUGCUGGGGAGAGAGAGAGACAGACAGAGAGAGAGGAGCACACACCAGCAGCUCAUCACCAUCACGGCAGAGAGAGGAGAGCGGGGCGGAAAACUAAAAGGGUUCUCCUGGGGGACUCAGGAUACUCAGAAAACAUGGACUGAUCCACACGAUAGCAUAGCAGACAGAGCAAGAAAGAGCAGGGAUGCUUGUCUAGGAGUGCUGAGGUUAUUGGCGUCUCUCUAG